rnacentral:lncRNA from 1 species
AUGUUAGUUUCAUUUUUAUUCAAUUAAAAAAUACUCUAUAAUUUUCCUUUUUAUUCCUUCUUUUACCCAUGGAAUAUUAAGAUAUUUGGAAGGCAAAUAAACAUACAAAAAGUUGCCUAUAUAUAUACAAAGACUUGUAUACAAAUGUUCAUAACAGUUUUAUUUGUAAUAGUAAAGAAAACAACCCAAAUGUAUAUCAACAAGUAGAAGUAUUAUAAUAAAAACUGUGGUACAUCCACACAAUAGUAUACUACUCAACAAGAGAAAAGAAUGACUAUUAAUACACACAACAACAUGAAUGAAUCUCAACAUAAUUACGCUGCAUGAAAAAAAGACAGAUGAAAAAACACGUACUGUAUGGUUCUAACAUAAAAUUCUGGAAAAUGCAUACUACUUCAAAGUGACACAGAUCAGACCAGCAAUUGCCUAAGAAACAUGGGAGAGAACAGGAAGGGGUGGGAGGAGGGACUCCAAAGAGGCAAGAGAAAACUUCUGGGAGUGAUGGACUUUCAUCAACUCGAUUGUGAUGAUGAUUUCAUAAGUGUGUAUAUAUAUGUCAAACCUAUCAAAUUUUACACAUUAUAUGUGUGUAGUUCAUAGUAUAUGAAUUAUACCUCUAUACAGUCCUUAAAGAAAAAAACACAAAUCCAGAACAGAUACAAUGGCUCUUCACUGCUCAGAACACUAGGACGGCUGCAGUGACUGGGUUACCUUGUCCGAGGUUGCCUGUUUUCCAACUUCAGGAGCUCUGCAAUUCUUUGACUCAGUUUCCAUGUCUACUUGAUUCUCUGCUACUCUCUCUAUUUCACUGCCCUCUGUGGGUUUAUGUGUCAUGUUAAAACUCCCCAAAAGAAGAUCACAAUUGACAUUCAAGGAGCCUGGCCACCUCACAGUUCAUGUAACUCUUUUUUAUUUAGUGCAUGUAUGAUUGUCCUUGUUAGGUUAAUGCAACCAAUUUCCUGUUCAAUCUGUUGUGGCCAGGGAAUCGGGGUCCAUGAUGGAAAGCAAAGCACCCUAUGUGGCAGGAAGUGUCUUUGACUUUCCUUUAGAAGAGGACUGGAGCUGAGAGGAUUUCUUAAACCCAUUUCCUCCUCACCGUUACAAGUUAGGAGGCCACAUCUUUCUAUUCACAUGUGCCUCCAGGAGCUCAGGCAACUCUUCCCUCAUCUAGCAGUUUGCUGAAAUGGGCUUGGCAACUACUUCCAGUCCUCCUCCAAGACAGGAAUUUCCAAGACAGUGAGCAUUUUAGCUCCUGCUGCUGGACAAGAAUAGCAGACAAAGACUGACACAUUGCUGAGUUAUCUCCAAAGCACAAAUGGCUCUCAGGCACAGUACAUUACAUAAGCAGAAAGUGUUACUGUAUUCUCCCUGUGGCCAACUCCUGGAUUGCAGAAAAGGUUAAGCAUAUAAUACAUCUGCAUAUCUUACAUCUUACAUAAAUGUGUUACAACAAAAGGGAAGGGGAAUCAUUAUAUGAAAAACUAGAGUAUGCUCUACCAUCCCCAAAGAUUGCAGACCAUAGAAAGGUCAUACACAGAAAGAAGAGAGCAGGCAGAGGCUCUCCUGGUAAAACAUGGACUUGACUUGAAAUUCUCCACCUCAGCUACUUUCUCCAAAGUCAAGGAACCACAAAACCCUGGUGUGUGAGUUUAUUUUGGUUCACUGGGCUACUGUUUCUGCCAAGAAACACCUUGCUGCCACUUUGUCCUGCUUAUUGUCAUGCUGGUCACUUCCACGUACAGAAUUAAGAGGCCAUCACUGAGCAGAGGGAGGAGUGGAAGCUCAAAUGUUUGUUAUUGUUAAAUUCACUCGUGCCCUUCUGAAACGUGUGCACGUGUGUAAAAGGACAGAGACAGAAGAUUGAUGUUUUUGCCUAAGAAAUUUCUCCAAAACAAAGGCAAUGGACCUAGAGCUUUUCAGUAAAGCUUAUCUUUUCUCUUUUAUCAUCCCCCUUUCUCAUUUCAAAGAGUUUCUUUUUUUCAGUGAUUAUUCCAUAACGAGUAAUGUGACAAACAACCAUCAUUACAAAGUCAGAAGCAAAAGAUGGAGCUGUAAAAUGUGAACGAAUGUAAAUCAAAUAUUCAUGUGUGCUGGCAACAAAGAGUUGAGUGUUUUGCACUGUGGUUAAGUAUCAAUUACUGAAAACUAAGAUACGUCACUAUCUACAUACACACACACACACCUACACACACACACACACACACACACACACACACACACGGGACAGCAAUCUAAGUGGCACAAAGCACAGAACUUAGAGUCACCUGACUGGGCCCAUGUCUCUGCCUUGCCACUUAACAGCUAUGAGCAAAUGUUUUCAAACUCUGAGUUUCAGUUUCUAAUCAACUUACAUAGAUAAGAAUUAACACCUGAUCUACCCAUUUCCCAAGACUAUUGUGAGAAUGAGAUUAUAUAGAAAAAAUGGUUACUGUAUGCCAUCAUGUUUUUAACUAAUAUAAUUCUCUGUAGAAUAGCAAAUGGCUUUUAACGAUUAAUUCACUCAACUUUUAUUGAGUGUCUACUCUGUACCAAACAUGUCUACUUCUUUGUAACAGUCCUUUUUAAGCUUUCAGAUUCCAGGGUGAUUUUCUAUUUGGAAAUAAGGAUUUUAUUGCUUCCAUAUCUUCUAUGUAACUUCUAUAUUUAGGCUUCUAUAUAAUAAAGAGGUAUAUAUACAUUACACACAUACACACACACACACACACACACACAGUGACAGUAAGAGACGAUCAUGUCAAUGUUAUCCAGAAAGGUACCAAUAAAACCAAGAUAAAAAUUAAAACUGCUUAAAAAUAACAAUACUUUACCCAGAAAUGUGCUAUGCUAAAGUAUUUUAAGAAAAGAAAUCACAAAUAGUUGUUCUUAGCAACUUCAUAAUCUUGCUCUAAACUGGGAAAAUACAGUUUGAAGCCUUCAUCAUCAUCACUUCAUUGGAGCUUCCAAGCUGUUGCAAUUUAUCAUCCCAUACUUUAAGUUUCUUUCUGAUCUUCCACAUCCUGAAGUUCUUUCUAGUUUAAGGAUCUUGGUCCUACGUUUCCUUGUGCUGUGUAUGUCGAUUUUCUCCGUCACUGCCUGUCUGUUGUACUAAGUCAGUGUCUAAGCCUGAAAGUGCGUCAUGAAUAAACUGUAACAAAUCAACUCCAAAAUUGGAAGAUGACUUAGGUUCCAUGUUUUUCUUUCUGCAUAGAGUUUGAAUA